CGCAACGCCUUCAGAACUGUCGCAAAAAUCGUUUCGGCGUUGAUGUAAAGCAGCGAAGCUUCGGGGCGAAAUGCUAUGAUACCGUCCAGCGGUUCCACGCCCUCAUGCCUGGCGCUGUCGGAAUAGCGGCCCGUGCCGGGAAGCCGUCCAAGAAACGCGAUGUUGGGUUGCGACGCUCGGCCGAGCAGCAAGAAGAUGGAUGCA
rnacentral:misc_RNA from 1 species